CUAGGUCACAUCCCUUUCUGGUAUCCCUGCAUGGAUCAUGUGAAAGUUACCAGGUGUAGUGGCUUUAAAUUGUCAUGACAGAAGUUGAAAAAUUGGAUUAUAGCUUUUCACAGACAAUGAAGGGGUGAGAGGAGAUGUCAAGCCCCAAACCCCCUGCUACCCGUCAACGACGUGACCCACAGUGCUACAUUCAGGCUAAUUUCCCGUCUCUUUGUCCUUGGAUUCCUUUUCAUUGUCAGUGGGAUGAUAACAAACGACAGAGGCAGAGUUCCUUCCCGAAUGAUUCAGGCAGAGAGAUGGGGUGCGGUGGGAUCUGACUAAAGGCUGAUGAGAGUGCGGUGAUCAUGCAAGUUUGUUUUGUCAUUCAGUUGCUGUCUGAAUGUUGUGCAAAACAUUGUGCAAACAUCCAGAACCAUUUUAAUACGUUUCUAUUAUUAUAGGGUUGCGCUAGUGCCACAACAAUGAAUUCACUACUUACAAAGUGUGUGCACUAGAAACACUGAAAAGGAUACAUCUGGAUUGAAAUAGGCCUCCUUAAGUUACAGCACACCUGCCUAGAGUACCAUUUGUCAAGUGUC